rnacentral:rRNA from 1 species
CCUACGGGAGGCAGCAGUGGGGAAUCUUGCGCAAUGGGCGAAAGCCUGACGCAGCAACGCCGCGUGCGGGAAGAAGGCUUUCGGGCUGUAAACCGCUUUCAGCAGGAACGAAAAUGACGGUACCUGCAGAAGAAGGAGCGGCCAACUAUGUGCCAGCAGCCGCGGUGAUACAUAGGCUUCAAGCGUUGUCCGGAUUUAUUGGGCGUAAAGAGUUCGUAGGCGGUCGAGUAAGUCGGGUGUGAAAAUUCUGGGCUCAACCCAGAGACGCCACCCGAUACUGCUUGACUUGAGUUCGAUAGGGGAGUGGGGAAUUCCUAGUGUAGCGGUGAAAUGCGCAGAUAUUAGGAGGAACGCCGGUGGCGAAGGCGCCACUCUGGAUCGAUACUGACGCUGAGGAACGAAAGCAUGGGUAGCAAACAGGAUUAGAUACCCUGGUAGUCCAUGCCGUAAACGGUGGGCACUAGGUGUGGGUUUCUAUUAACGAAAUCCGCGCCGUCGCUAACGCAUUAAGUGCCCCGCCUGGGGAGUACGGUCGCAAGACUAAAACUUAAAGGAAUUGACGGCUUGAGAGUUGCGAGCGCACGAGGGAGAG